rnacentral:rRNA from 1 species
UACGGGGGGAGCAAGCGUUGUUCGGAUUUACUGGGCGUAAAGGGCGCGUAGGCGGCCAGCACAAUUCAGUUGUGAAAUCUCCGAGCUUACCUCGGAACGGUCAACUGAUACUGUGCGGCUAGAGUGCGGAAGGGGCAACUGGAAUUCUUGGUGUAGCGGUGAAAUGCGUAGAUAUCAAGAGGAACACCUGCGGCGAAGGCGGGUUGCUGGGCCGACACUGACGCUGAUGCGCGAAAGCCAGGGGAGCGAACGGG